rnacentral:rRNA from 1 species
GACGAACGCUGGCGGCGUGCUUAACACAUGCAAGUCGAACGGAAAGGCCCUGCUUUUGUGGGGUGCUCGAGUGGCGAACGGGUGAGUAACACGUGAGUAACCUGCCCUUGACUUUGGGAUAACUUCAGGUAACUGGGGCUAAUACCGGACAGGUGCUCCUGCUGCAUGGUGGGGGUUGGAAAGUUUCGGCGGUUGGGGAUGGACUCGCGGCUUAUCAGUUUGUUGGUGGGGUAGUGGCUUACCAAGGCUUUGACGGGUAGCCGGCCUGAGAGGGUGCCCGGCCACAUUGGGACUGGGAUACGGCCCAGACUCCAACGGGAGGCAGCAGUGGGGAAUAUUGCACAAUGGGCGGAAGCCUGAUGCAGCAACGCCGCGUGCGGGAUGACGGCCUUCGGGUUGUAAACCGCUUUCGCCUGUGACGAAGCGUGAGUGACGGUAAUGGGUAAAGAAGCACCGGCUAACUACGUG